AUGGCUCAGGAUGAACGCUAGCGGCAGGCUUAACACAUGCAAGUCGAGGGGUAACAGGUAGCUUGCUAUGCUGACGACCGGCGCACGGGUGCGUAACGCGUAUAGAACCUACCUUAUAGUAAGGGAUAGCCCAGAGAAAUUUGGAUUAAUACCUUAUAGUAUUAUUGAAUGGCAUCGUUUAAUAAUUAAAGAUUUAUUGCUAUAAGAUGGCUAUGCGUUCUAUUAGCUAGUUGGUAUGGUAACGGCAUACCAAGGCUACGAUAGAUAGGGGUCCUGAGAGGGAGAUCCCCCACACUGGUACUGAGACACGGACCAGACUCCUACGGGAGGCAGCAGUGAGGAAUAUUGGACAAUGGAGGCAACUCUGAUCCAGCCAUGCCGCGUGUAGGAAGACUGCCCUAUGGGUUGUAAACUACUUUUAUAGAGGAAGAAACGGCACUACGUGUAGUGUUUUGACGGUACUCUAACGAUAAGGU
rnacentral:rRNA from 1 species